rnacentral:rRNA from 1 species
UGGGGAAUAUUGCACAAUGGGGGAAACCCUGAUGCAGCGACGCCGCGUGAGCGAGGAAGUAUUUCGGUAUGUAAAGCUCUAUCAGCAGGGAAGAAAUGACGGUACCUGACUAAGAAGCCCCGGCUAACUACGUGCCAGCAGCCGCGGUAAUACGUAGGGGGCAAGCGUUAUCCGGAUUUACUGGGUGUAAAGGGAGCGUAGACGGCAUAACAAGUCUGAUGUGAAAGGCAUGGGCUCAACCCGUGGACUGCAUUGGAAACUGUCAGUCUAGAGUGUCGGAGGGGUAAGUGGAAUUCCUAGUGUAGCGGUGAAAUGCGUAGAUAUUAGGAGGAACACCAGUGGCGAAGGCGGCUUACUGGACGAUAACUGACGUUGAGGCUCGAAAGCGUGGGGAGCAAAGCAGGAUUAGAUACC